CUCGCCAUGGGCGCAGCCUGAUGCAGCAACGCCGCGUGAGGGACGAAGGCCUUCGGGUUGUAAACCUCUUUUAGCAGGGAAGAAGCGAAAGUGACGGUACCUGCAGAAAAAGCACCGGCUAACUACGUGCCAGCAGCCGCGGUAAUACGUAGGGUGCAAGCGUUGUCCGGAAUUAUUGGGCGUAAAGAGCUCGUAGGCGGUUUGUCACGUCUGCUGUGAAAACCCGAGGCUCAACCUCGGGCUUGCAGUGGGUACGGGCAGACUAGAGUGCGGUAGGGGAGAUUGGAAUUCCUGGUGUAGCGGUGGAAUGCGCAAAUAUCAGGAGGAACACCGAUGGCGAAGGCAGAUCUCUGGGCCGUAACUGACGCUGAGGAGCGAAAGCAUGGGGAGCAAACAGGCUUAGAUACCCUGGUAGUCCAUGCCGUAAACGUUGGGAACUAGAUGUGGGGACCAUUCCACGGUCUCCGUGUCGUAGCUAACGCAUUAAGUUCCCCGCCUGGGGAGUACGGCCGCAAGGCUAAAACUCAAAGAAUUUGACGGA
rnacentral:rRNA from 1 species